rnacentral:rRNA from 1 species
GACGAACGCUGGCGGCGUGCUUAACACAUGCAAGUCGAACGGAAAGGCCCUGCUUUUGUGGGGUGCUCGAGUGGCGAACGGGUGAGUAACACGUGAGUAACCUGCCCUUGACUUUGGGAUAACUUCAGGAAACUGGGGCUAAUACCGGAUAGGAGCUCCUGCUGCAUGGUGGGGGUUGGAAAGUUUCGGCGGUUGGGGAUGGACUCGCGGCUUAUCAGCUUGUUGGUGGGGUAGUGGCUUACCAAGGUUUUGACGGGUAGCCGGCCUGAGAGGGUGACCGGCCACAUUGGGACUGAGAUACGGCCCAGACUCCUACGGGAGGCAGCAGUGGGGAAUAUUGCACAAUGGGCGGAAGCCUGAUGCAGCAACGCCGCGUGCGGGAUGACGGCCUUCGGGUUGUAAACCGCUUUCGCCUGUGACGAAGCGUGAGUGACGGUAAUGGGUAAAGAAGCACCGGCUAACUACGU